rnacentral:miRNA from 10 species
UCCCAGUCAAAUUUGAACUUCAGACAAAUAACAAAUACUUCCAGUAUAAGUAUAUUCUGUGCAAUAUUUGGGACAUACUUACACUAAAAAGUUAUUCAUUGUUUAUCUGAAGUUCCAAUCUCAAUGGUGUCCUGUAUU